AGAGUUUGAUCCUGGCUCAGGAUGAACGCUAGCUACAGGCUUAACACAUGCAAGUCGAGGGGCAGCAUGAUUGAAGCUUGCUUCAAUUGAUGGCGACCGGCGCACGGGUGAGUAACACGUAUCCAACCUGCCGAUAACUCGGGGAUAGCCUUUCGAAAGAAAGAUUAAUACCCGAUAGUAUAGUAUUUCCGCAUGGUUUCACUAUUAAAGAAUUUCGGUUAUCGAUGGGGAUGCGUUCCAUUAGAUAGUUGGCGGGGUAACGGCCCACCAAGUCAACGAUGGAUAGGGGUUCUGAGAGGAAGGUCCCCCACAUUGGAACUGAGACACGGUCCAAACUCCUACGGGAGGCAGCAGUGAGGAAUAUUGGUCAAUGGACGAGAGUCUGAACCAGCCAAGUAGCGUGAAGGAUGACUGCCCUAUGGGUUGUAAACUUCUUUUAUACGGGAAUAAAGUGGAGUAUGCAUACUCCUUUGUAUGUACCGUAUGAAUAAGGAUCGGCUAACUCCGUGCCAGCAGCCGCGGUAAUACGGAGGAUCCGAGCGUUAUCCGGAUUUAUUGGGUUUAAAGGGAGCGUAGGCGGGUGCUUAAGUCAGUUGUGAAAGUUUGCGGCUCAACCGUAAAAUUGCAGUUGAUACUGGGCGCCUUGAGUGCAGCAUAGGUAGGCGGAAUUCGUGGUGUAGCGGUGAAAUGCUUAGAUAUCACGAAGAACUCCGAUUGCGAAGGCAGCUUACUGGACUGUAACUGACGCUGAUGCUCGAAAGUGUGGGUAUCAAACAGGAUUAGAUACCCUGGUAGUCCACACAGUAAACGAUGAAUACUCGCUGUUGGCGAUACACAGUCAGCGGCCAAGCGAAAGCAUUAAGUAUUCCACCU
rnacentral:rRNA from 1 species